ACCUGGGUGGCUCAGUUGGUUGAGUGUCUGCCUUCGACUCAGGUCAUGAUCCAAGGGUCGUGGGAUCGAGUCCCACGUCAGGCU
rnacentral:tRNA from 1 species